UUUUUUGAUUAUAUAACUUUUUUGUUAUCUUUAGGCCAAUUUGCACAGACUACAGCUGUAUCUACCUCUUGUGCUACACCUGGUUGGUCGGUUAAAUAUGAUCAUUUAAAUGAGAAAAUGUAUACUCGUGCAACUGAAUACAAACUCGAGAAAACUCGAGAAAAUGAAUACUCGUGCAAAUGUAUACUCGUGCAAUCUGGUAAAACAAUUCUGUAUUUUGCUUUCUCUUUUUUAAUAAUUGCAUGUGAAAAUGUUGAAAAUAUCAUUUCUAUGUGUUUUCUUUUUUACAUUGGUUGAGGGGAAGGGGGAAAACCAUCCCUCUCCUCAAAUUGUACAUCACUAAUGCAUGUUCUAUAGUAAAAAAAUAUUGCUUUAUGUAAUACAACAAUAUUUUCAAUACUAAUGUAUGUUGUAUAGUUAUAAAAGAUUAUUUUUCCUUUUUAACAAUAUAUUUGAUUAUUGAAAUAAAGAUGACGUUAUUUUUUGUCAGAUGAGAGGUGGGUGGGGGGAGGUGGUGCAAUAUACGUCCUUCUUUUAAAGUCAGUGUGUACAUAAAUAACAUAUGUUGAAUAGUAAUAAAAGAUUAUUUUUACUUGUUAACAAUAAAUUUAAUUACUGUAAUAAAGAUUUAAUUAUUUUUAUUUUUUGUUAUGCAUCAGGGGGAAGAGGGAGGGGCGGUGCGACAUACGCUCUUCCCUAAAGUUAGUGUGUACAUCACUAAUGUAUGUCGUAUAGUAAAAAAAUAUAUUUUUACUUUUUAACAAAAUAUUUAAUUCUGUAAUAAAGAUUAAAUUAUUUAUUAGAAUGUAUGAUUAUUGUAUUAGGGUGUUAUAACAUCAUAACCACAUCUACGACCAACUCUAAGAUCACCUUUUUUUGUUUAACAGUGUUCUGGAAUUACGUUAUGGCAAUAUUUUAUGUAUAAAAUGUAACAAUUACAUUAAAAAGUGCUUAUU